GCCACAGAGAGAAGUUGGGUUCCCGCACCGCCGAGUUCAAGCCCGCCGAGGGCGGGGAGGCAUUCCCAGAGGAGGAGAGGAUGGCGCAGCGAAAGGCUAGAGCGUUUUAACUCCUGCAGCCCCGGCACACGUUUUCAGACCGAGGAUUGGUGGUCCCUGUUGCAGGCUCGGCUUCUUUGUAAACUCGGAGCCCUUCGGAGAUGAGGACUGGGGAGCCUGAGACCCUAAGACCAAAGUGGAGGAGAAAAUGAUAAAUGUCCGUUACCGAUCGUCAGCAUAAAGUGCC